rnacentral:rRNA from 1 species
UACGUAGGGUGCAAGCGUUGUCCGGAAUUAUUGGGCGUAAAGGGCUCGUAGGCGGUUUGUCGCGUCGGGAGUGAAAUCCACUGGCUUAACUGGUGGCUUGCUUUCGAUACGGGCAGACUGGAGGUAUGCAGGGGAGAACGGAAUUCCUGGUGUAGCGGUGAAAUGCGCAGAUAUCAGGAGGAACACCGGUGGCGAAGGCGGUUCUCUGGGCAUGUUCUGACGCUGAGGAGCGAAAGUGUGGGAGGCGAACAGG